CGGAACACGUACAGAACCUUCCUUUAACUGAGAAUAGCCCCUCGAAGAGGGAUUAAUACUCCGUAACAUAUACAUGUGGCAUCACAAGUAUAUUAUAGCUCCGGCGGUUAAAGAUGGGCGUGCGCCUGAUUAGAUAGUUGGCGGGGUAACGGCCCACCAAGUCUGCGAUCAGUAACUGGUGUGAGAGCACGACCAGUCACACGGGCACUGAGACACGGGCCCG
rnacentral:rRNA from 1 species